rnacentral:rRNA from 1 species
AAGGUUGACUCGGCCAAAGGCGACUGUUAGGUAAAACCGGUGACUGGGGCU